AAGGCCUGCGGGUUGUAAAGCACUUUUAGUUGGGGACAAAAAGACUACGGACAAAUACUCUGUGGUCUUGAUUUUAAACCCAAAAGAAAAAAGACACCGGCUAACUCUGUAC
rnacentral:rRNA from 1 species